UAAGCCGGUAGCAGGAAGUAGCCAGGAGACAGGGCAUGAGAUCGAUUACAUUUCUGCUCGAGAGCCGACUUCCAGCGCCGGGGUUCUUUGUCACUAAGCUGUGUUUGACUGUGGAAGCUCAAUUGGCCAGGCUUCUCUUUUUGAUGGCGAGCUUAGGAAAAUAAUCACCAAGUCCAAGGAUCAAGUUUGGAAGAUUCCAGCCAGGAACCUCACCACCUGCUCUGUCUGGGCUGCUCCUCUUCGUUCCCUGGAUUCAAGCUGUGUCUCUCGUCUCCCCGGAUUCCCUCCUGUCUUCUUGCUAUCUUUCUGGAUCUCGACCUCUCACCUGGACACGGACUCCGAAGACUUGCUCCUGCCCUUGACCUCUUGCUUUCCCACAGACCUCCGAACCUGUCCCCUCCUUUUGGACUUCGCUUAACGUAGUCACACCACAGGUUUUUGGAUUAAUUACACACGUCAUUCUAUUGUUUUGAUAAAGACGCCUAAGGGUAAGCGACGUCCCUGUUUCAGUGCUGUCUUCUUCUCUACCGUACGUAACACCUUUACCUUCUCAUUCUUCCAGGAUGUAGUUCCGUCGUCGAGGCUAUCUUCCAUCCAUCCAUUUCUACCGCUUGUCCCUUUCUUAAUGUCUUUAAAACGGCUUCCCUUGAUAACACCAUUGAGUUUGAGAAAAAGAGGAAAUAAAGCCUAUGCAGAACCAGGUCGGGGUAAGAGUUUGCUUCAUCACAUCAAUGUUCUACUUAGCUAAAAACUGUUGGCUGCUCGAGCACUGUGAGCAGGUGUGUUGUUUAUGGUGAAGCAGCUACAAGUUGUCUUGCCACAACUUUCACCUUUUUUCGCCCUUUUUUGGUGAACAAAGCAACUGCCGCACAAUGUCUUUGUUGAUGUGCUGGUGGAUCGUCCGGCCUUGUAGACACAACACUUGUGGAUGCUUCUCACAUUGAAACAUUCGAUUAACAUGACUUUGAUUUUGGACUUGGACUUGUCUGCUCUCUGUCA